rnacentral:piRNA from 1 species
AAAAAUAUUUGGAGAAGACAUGGCUU